rnacentral:rRNA from 1 species
UKGGGGGGUCCUUAUUCAUGCAGUUCGAGCGGACGGAUGGGAGCUUGCUCCCUGAAGUCAGCGGCGYGYACGGGUGAGUAACACGUGGGCAACCUGCCUGUAAGACUGGGAUAACUCCGGGAAACCGGGGCUAAUACCGGAUAACUCUUUUCCUCACAUGAGGAAAAGCUGAAAGAUGGUUUCGGCUAUCACUUACAGAUGGGCCCGCGGCGCAUUAGCUAGUUGGUGAGGUAACGGCUCACCAAGGCCACGAUGCGUAGCCGACCUGAGAG